AUGAUGAUUUUACUUAGAAAUGGUUAGAACAAAUCUGAUAACUCAUGAAGUUAUUAACUAGGGCGAUCUGAUUAA
rfam:Glossina fuscipes fuscipes unplaced genomic scaffold Scaffold118, whole genome shotgun sequence.